GGAGGAAAGCAGGGGAUCGCAAGACCUUGCACUUUUGGAGCGGCCGAUGUCUGAUUAGCUAGUUGGUGGGGUAAUGGCCUACCAAAGCUUCGAUCAGUAGCUGGUCUGAGAGGACGGCCAGCCACACUGGGACUGAGACACGGCCCAGACUCCUACGGGAGGCAGCAGUGGGGAAUUUUGGACAAUGGGCGCAAGCCUGAUCCAGCCAUGCCGCGUGAGUGAAGAAGGCCUUCGGGUUGUAAAGCUCUUUCAGCCGGGAAGAAAAGGUUGCGACUAAUAAUCGCAAUUCAUGACGGUACCGGAAGAAGAAGCACCGGCUAACUACGUGCCAGCAGCCGCGGUAAUACGUAGGGUGCGGGCGUUAAUCGGAAUUACUGGGCGUAAAGCGUGCGCAGGCGGCUUCCUAAGUCAGAUGUGAAAUCCCCGGGCUUAACCUGGGAACUGCGUUUGAAACUACAAGGCUAG
rnacentral:rRNA from 1 species